AUUUAGCGAGCUGAGUGGGGAGGAGAGAGGGACAGAGAGCCUGCUUGCUUUAAAGAAGCCAACUGGACAGGAGCCGCUUACACUCGUGUAAGCGGCUCCUCUCCUCUCCUGCUUUGCUCCUUUAAAGCAAGCAGGCUUUCUGUCCCUCUCUCCUCCCCACUCAGCGGCUCUUCUC
rnacentral:miRNA from 1 species